CACGAUAAAGUGUAACGGUUGCACACUAGCCUCAUGAGCUGGUAGUUUGGUUCAAUUCCUUCCAUCGUGA
rnacentral:tRNA from 2 species